rnacentral:miRNA from 1 species
UGACUAGAUAUCACAUUCAGUGG